rnacentral:rRNA from 1 species
UACGGAGGUCUCAAGCGUUGUUCGGAUUCAUUGGGCGUAAAGGGUGCGUAGGUGGCGCCAUAAGUCGGGUGUGAAAUUUCGGAGCUCAACUCCGAAACUGCAUUCGAUACUGUGGUGCUUGAGGACUGGAGAGGAGACUGGAAUUCACGGUGUAGCAGUGAAAUGCGUAGAGAUCGUGAGGAAGACCAGUGGCGAAGGCGGGUCUCUGGACAGUUCCUGACACUGAGGCACGAAGGCCAGGGGAGCAAACGGG